rnacentral:rRNA from 1 species
GACGAACGCUGGCGGCGUGCUUAACACAUGCAAGUCGAACGGAAAGGCCCCUUUGGGGGUACUCGAGUGGCGAACGGGUGAGUAACACGUGAGUAACCUGCCCUUGACUUCGGGAUAACUUCAGGAAACUGGGGCUAAUACCGGAUAGGAAUCCUUGCUGCAUGGUGGGGGUUGGAAAGCUUCGGCGGGUUUGGAUGGACUCGCGGCUUAUCAGCUUGUUGGUGGGGUAGUGGCUUACCAAGGCUUUGACGGGUAGCCGGCCUGAGAGGGCGACCGGCCACAUUGGGACUGAGAGACGGCCCAGACUCCGACGGGAGGCAGCAGUGGGGAAUAUUGCACAAUGGGCGGAAGCCUGAUGCAGCAACGCCGCGUGCGGGAUGACGGCCUUCGGGUUGGAAACCGCUUUCAGCAGGGGCGAAGCUUGUGGUGACGGUACCUGCAGAAGAAGCACCGGCUAACUACGUG